rnacentral:tRNA from 1 species
GCCUGGGUGGCUCAGUCAGUUGAGUGUCUGACUUCAGCUCGGGUCGUGAUCUCUCAGUUCGUGGGUUCGAGUCCUGCGUCAGGCU